rnacentral:lncRNA from 1 species
AUUUGUCGUGUGGGUUAAUCAAGGAAGGCAUUUCAAUGUCUUCUGUCGUUAGUGGGCGUUUGACCAAUGGGCCGCUUUAAUUGUUUUCUUUUUAGGUCGUCUAGAUGUUGUUUGGUCAUUGCUUGGGUCAUUUGCAUGAGCAGCGUGGAGGGUUGACUUGGAGUCCGCCGGUGUUGUCCUCUCCACAUGAAUCCCCUAUUGGUUUUGUUCCUCAGGUUGGCUUGGGUCUAACUAAUGAUUUUCCAUCGUUUCAUUUUCCCUCUUUGCUUUGUCUGACGAUGUUUUUAAGCUUGCCCUUGGGUCGACUGUUGAAAGUGGAGGGGGUGAUGAAUUUUUAAUAUUUCUUUGUGGAUUUUCGUUAAAAGGUUUCCAUUUUUAGGAUUUAGGGUUGCUUUAUGAUUUUGGGGAUUUGACACUAGCCCAUGAAUUUCGUAUGGCAAGUUUACGUGUUUGGUCUCAAAUGGAUGAUGUCUCUGGCUAUUUGGCCCUGUCAUAUCUCUUACUGUUCUUGACUUGCUACUGUCUGACCUUUCUAGAUUAUCGAUUUCUCACUUUUUUUUUUUUUUUUGCAUUCUCAAACUUAUUUCAUUUGGGUUCUUACUAUUUAUGUGUUUUUGUACUGCGUUUCUUUUCUUAACUUCACUUCGGCUCUUAGAGGUUCUCAGAUUCAAGUAUUCAGUUGACAAUUGUCUCUCAAGGGUCUUCUUGCUUUUUGUUUACUAUCUGAAAUUAAUUGUUUUCUAUUUCCUCUUUUGUUUUUUUUUUUUGAAACGAUUGUUUACGAUUAUUUUUUUUUUCAGUUUCCAGCAUAACUUGAUGAAUCGAUUAUGUGCUUUCAUAUUUUUCUAAGAUUUUCGCAGAUCAUUUAUGCUUUAUCUUUUUAAACAUGUUAAAUGGUUUGUUUAAAAUACUUACUGUUGGUACGAAAUAGAAUGUACGGAUAUUUAGACUUUCGAUGCUAAGCUUAAUAGAGUGAACAUUGAAAAUAUUCUUUGAUGAAGGUAGUUGUUAUUAAUAAAAGCAUCAUUUUUUAUUUUUUUGAUUCUAAAUAUGCUGAACAAUAUUCUUGACUGUAUAUUUAUUUUGUCUUCGACAUGGUGAUUUGUUGAAAAUACAAUAUGUAUAUGUGCAAAGCAUUUAACUUGAAACUCAUUAUAUAUAAAAUGACUAUACUGUUUGAUGAAGUACUCUCAUGGUUUGUUUUUCGUUAAAGCAUCAUAGUUGUCGGUUUACAUUUUUUUCUGUGUUCAUCAUCAUUUUGAUUAUUGUAUUUGAUGUUUUUAGAUGUGCAGUGCUGGUUGGUCUUUUUUUUUUAUUUUUUGAUUGGUUGUCUCAAUUAAUUUCUUGAUAUCUCUUUUUUCCACAGGGUUUCUAUCUUGCCAUCUCAGUUGUGCGAAAUAUUGUAAGUAAAUAAGUUUUUUAAAUUUAGUUUAGCAUCAUUUGUUUCAUUUUUUGCUGUAAUGUUUUAAAAUGAUUAGAUAUUAUGCUUUUUUCCUCUUUGUUGACCAAAGGUAAUAGUUUGGGUUGUCAUUAAUGGUCCAAUUUUGGUCAGAAAUGAAUCUUUUUAUUCGUUAAGGAAAGGAUUGGUCAUCAAAAAAGAUUGAUGAGUUGUGUAUGAUCUUUUCUUCCUUUAGCGAUGGGAAUGAUAUUUUCUCUAGCCAAAAUUUGGACCAUCUCAUAAUAGCACAACCAGUGUUGAUGUAAGUAAAAGAUAUCAAAUAUUUCUAUGUUUGCUUUUCUUUAUCGAAUGAAACAUAAUUCGUUGCAUUGCACAAGGUGUAGCUGGAAACUGUAAUGUGUUUUGAUUUGAUAAAAUUUUGAAUUACAGCCUUUUAUUUCCUGCUAUGUAGUCUUUAUUUAUUGAUGGUUUUUUUUUAAAUUGAGUGUCUACAGUAUUGCUUGGUCAGGUUAUUAUAACUUUGAUGCAAUAUUUUUCUAUUAUCUUACUGUUUAUGCUUGGUUUUUGUUCUAUCUGUAGUUUCCCCUUACAUUUUACUCAUGCACAAGUUAAAUAUACAUAAACAACAUAGACAAAGGAGGUUAAAAAUAUUAAGAGCAAAAAAAUUAUCCAGAUUGAGUAAAAAUUAUAAUACACAAUAUCACAAUCGAAUGAAUAUCCUAUUUGCUCAAAACUUCCUAUUAGCUCAUCAUUUCCACCCAUGGGGUUCUGCAUUCAAUGUUAUUCAUGUUCCUAUUAGAGGACAUGUGAUAAUUCAUUCGAUUGUUAAUGUUUAUGGUGAACUGGAAAUAACAUUGGUUGAACCUAUUAUUCAUUUUUCUGGUGUUGGUUUCCCAAACAUUGGUUUCCACAUAGUGCCCACUAAUAUUCCGAGUUUCCCAAUAACUAGUUGGCCUAAUUAUCUUGUAGGGGACAUUAGGUUGUUGAGUGAUAGUUUUUAUUCAAAUCAUCAGUUUAGUCAUUAUCAAGUUUCACAAGGUUGCUUGAGUGACUCUUUUCAUGGUAGUAGCCUCGAUAAACUUUUCCUCUAACACAUUAAAAAUAUUAUUAUCCUAUGAUAAAUAAAUAAUAUUUUGAAAGUGUGUAAUAAGAUCACAACAAAUAGUUAAUUCAAUUUUUUGUGCACAAAUUUAUGAAGGUCACAUGCAAGAUGUUCCUUGCCAAUGUGAAAACUAUACCCUUGAAAAUAAUCUUCUAGUGGAGGAAAAUAUCUCAAUGCUCGAAUGUAAGUUUAGACGCAUUGUCAAAUCAAUAUUUCAUAUCAUUCUAGUCUCUUUUGUAAAUGUGAUCAUUAACACAUGUUUAUUUUUGUUCAUCAUGCAUAUAAUAGGAAAUCAGAUGACCAUUUAGUCCUUCGGAAGCCCUAAUUAUAUAUAUCUUUUUUUCAUCGCUUACAUGUGGUAUGAAGAAAGGUCAAAUGUAUCAAGAGAAAAUAGGAAUCCUACUUUUAGUCUUUGUUGUCAAUAAAGUAUAGUUCGAAUACCAGAUUUUAGAGAAACACCCCCUUCCUAGACACCUUACUUACUGAUGGUACAAAUGCUAGAUGUCAAAAGUUUAGACAAAACAUAAGAAUGUAUAACAUGAUGUUUCAAUUCACUUCAUUAAGAACUCAAAUUGAUAAGUUAAUCAACAAUAGGGAGGUCCUGACAUAUUCAAGAUCAACAAUCAAAUACAUCAUAAGAUAGGUUCUUUCAUACCCAUAUUUAGAAACAAACCAAAAUUCACUCAACUUUACAUUUAUGAUAUUGAAAAUGAAAUCUAAAAUAGGUUAGCAAAGUACAACAAUGAUCUUGACAGAUCAAUUGUUGAAGGUCUGAUAAAAAUGCUUGAUGAUAAUAAUCAAAUUCUGAAAAUCUUUAAAAUGGCUAAGGAUAGGUUAAGAACUAUAAACUUUGCACCCCUUCGACUUAAACUUAUAGCAUCCAGAGAUUAGUCACACCUAAAUUAUAAAAUGCCAACUACAACUAAAAUAGCUGGUCUAAUAAUAGGUGAUUUAGGAGAAUAUGAUGGCCAUAAAGAUAUUAUAGUUGAUCAUGUCACUGAAGGUUUAAACCGAAUUAGUGAACUGCACCUUUCAUUCAUGACCAUGCAAUAUCCUCUUCUUUUCUCAUAUGGAGAAUAUGGUUAUACACCUAAUAUAAGCUACGUUCAUGCACUCGUUAGGAGAAAACCAAAACGAAAAAAUGUAACAAUGUGAAAAUAUAUUAUGCAUACAUAAUUCAACAACGAUCAACUUUUAAAAGUACAUUGUUAAGGGUUUCAACAAUUUAUAGUUGAUGCAUAUGCUAUUAUUGAAGAAGAAAUAUUAUUAUUUAUAAGAAACAAUAAAAAAAAUUAAGAGCUAAAUUAUAUUAAGGUUUAAAAGAUGCUUUUGCAAAAGGAGAUAAUAAUGCAAGCAAUGUAUGAAAAUGCAUAAUGCUACCUUCAAGUUUUAUUGGAAAUCCUAGAUACUUAUUACAAAACUAUCAAGAUUCCAUGGCAAUUUGUAGAUGUUGCAGUUGUCUUGAUAUAACAUCUAGAGUUUUCAAGAUUAGAUUUCGUCAUCUAAUGGAUGAAUUGAUGAAGAACAAACACUUUGGUGUUGCCAUAGCUGGUAUGUCAAACCCUGCUUUGUAAAAUAAUUAUAAUGUCAUUCACAUGCUCGAUAGAAUGUUUGUAUAUUUAGGAAGUUCGAGAAAUCGUUAAAAGAUGAUAUUACCCCUAAUAAUAUCAUUAAGUCGAUCAAGCCUCGAACUAGUUCAAAUAGGAAUUUUAAGAUGAAAUUAAGAGUUUCACAGUUCAGAGAUGACUCAAAAUGGUAAUUAGGAGUUCGAGGAUCAAUUCGGAGUCAAACCGGAAUUUUCACUAUCUAGGGACAAAAUUGUAAUUUUUCCACCCGCGGACAAAAUUUGAGAUUUGAAGAGAAUUUAAAUCACAUUUGACAAAUUGGAGAAUGGUAUGAGUAUAAGGGAUGAAAAAUAUGUCUAUGGGUAAUUUUUCAGUUUUUGAGAUAAAAAUGUAAUUUUUCACUUUACAGGGGUAAAAGUGUAAUUUUUAAAAAUUUACUUCACCAAAAUUUUGGAAAAGUCUAAAAAUUUCAUGGAAGACAUGGAUAAGUGAAGAGGAUUGAGUGGUAGAAAAAGAAAGUCAAAAAGAUGGCUAGAAAAAAAUAAAAUAAUAAAAUAUUCAAAAGGUAAAUAAAAUAAUAAUAUUUUAUUAAGCCUAUUAAAAGGCUUGAAAAUUCCAGAAUUCUUCAUUGGGAGGGUCAGCCAAAACCAGCAGGAGAGAGAGAGAAAUAAGAACAAACCCUAGAGUGAGAAAAUUCAAAGAAAAAGUGUGAUUUUUAAAGGAAUCAAGUGUUUAAAAAUAUGAUUUUUCAAGCUUAGCUUAAGAUUUAUCAUUUCCAUGCAUUUUUCAUCAUUUUUCAUGGUUGAAUCAUGUGAUUUGAGGAUGAAUUCAAUUCUGAAAAAAUGGGUUAGGAGAGAGAAACUUGUUAGAUUAAUUUGAUUCUAAGUUAUGUUAGUGUUUUAAGUUAGUUUAACAUAUUUAGGAACAAAACAAUAAGAAAAGAAUUUAUUUUCCUCCAUUAUUAUUAUUGGCUGAAUUUUUUAGGGGAAUAUUGGCUGUUGAUCUUGAUGUUUAUUUGAGGAAUUAUGAUGAAUAAUGAUAAAUUAUGAGCUUAGAAAAAUAAUGAAAAUUUUCAUAGUAAAAAUAUGAAUUUUUACCCACUAGGGGUAUUUUCGUAAUUUACUAUCGAGACUAAUAAUUUGUACCACAUUGAGGAAAAUUUGGGUGCAAUUGAGGUAUAGAAACUGAAAAAAAUUAAUUUGAGAUUAAAUUGGACGCGUUAGUAAUUUAAUCGGGUAAUAGGCCCAAUUAGGUCAGCACCGCAUUUAAGCGAUAGUCGGAUAAGUUGCAUGUCAUAUCAUGCAUAUAUACCGAGCCCAAAUUGAUUUUAUAAUGGUCAAACGUUGAUGUGGUGAAUUAUGUAUUUUACAUUGUGGAUAGGUAGUGAGCAAAUUACACUGGUAAAAGUACAGAAAUUAUCUUGAAGACUGGGAUUAGGAGUACAUCGACUCCUAGAACUGUGAGUGGACAAUUUAUCGUCUUAAAUAUCUAGAGUAAUUAUACUUGUUUGAUGUUUUUAUUGAAUGGUGAGCUUAAAUUAUAAAAUAUUAUGUUUUCCAAUUAAAAUAUUUUUUUAUAAAAAUGAAAUUUAUACUGGUUUUCAAAUCAAAUAUUGUUUUGAGAAAAUUGAGUAUAUGAAGACUGUGUUGAAAUUUAUGAUUUUAUAUGUUAUUGAAAUUGGGGCUUAUGACACUAUGGUAGCAUGAUGGCUAAAUUUUUGGGGUUGGCAUGAAAUAUAUGAAUAGUUUUGGAUUAGUCUCGGUAGAUUGGAUUACAUUUUAUUCGUCAUGUUAUGUUACUAGAAUUUUUAUGUGUCUGGUGGUAUAUUAAACGGUCACUGCAGUGGUGAGGGUUUCCGUGGACUACCUAUGAGAGGGGUACGGUAACCCAAUUAUAUAGUUACUUCCGGGAUGAGAUAUUAGGUGAAGUAUCUCCUGAGGUAUGAUUUGAGUGCACCUCACGUUCGAGCCACCACGUGAGAGUGAGACUCAGCCAAUGCCAAUGAACGAUUGUAUCAAAUGUGAAAACAUGUUUAUGGGUAUGGGUCAUUGAACAGCCUUGGCGGUCUCAGUGGGAUACCUUGACGAAGGUACCCGCGAGAAUGAUAUUGGCAGGGGCCAAGUUUAAAAAAAUUCAUAAGCCUGGAAAUUUUGAUGAAAAGAAAUUGUUUGGAAUAGAUUGAAACGAAUUUUGUAUUAUGAACAUUAUUGAGAUAUAACAUUUUUAUAUUGUCUUCAUUUACUCGGCUUUAGAUGCUUUUGAUGGUAAUUGUUUACUCACUGAGAUUAUGAACCCUUCUUCCUAUCCAUUUUUCAAGCUCAGAACAGUUUGUUGAUAGUUGAUUAAGACGAGAAUUAAUCUCGGAGUUGCAUCAUAGGAAGUAAAGGUUCGUAGCUCUACACCUUCUUGGUUAGUUGGGGGUCCACAUGUCACUGUAAACGAAAUUUCAUAUUUUAAUUAUCUUUAUUACUAUAUGAAUAAAUUUAUUUUACUCUUACGCUACAAAGUUAUUUUAGGAAAACUUUAAAAAUAUUGUGUUUUAAGAAAAUAGAAUAUUUUAUUUAAUAUUUUUAUUAUAUUCAAAUAGCUAUAAUUUUACUUUAAACGAAUGUUUUAGACUUCAAAAUUUAAUUUCGAAAUUCGAAAAAAAAUGUAAUAUGUAAGUGAAAACACAUAUUUCAUGAUAUAGCGAAUAAAAUGUAAUCCAGUCUACCGAGACCAAUCCAAAACUAUUCAUAUAUUUCAUGCCAACCCCAAAAAUUUAGCCAUCAUGCUACCAUAGUGUCAUAAGCCCCAAUUUCAAUAACAUAUAAAAUCAUAAAUUUCAACACAGUCUCCAUAUACUCAAUUUUUCCAAAACAAUAUUUGAUUUCAAAACCAGUAUAAAUUUCAUUUUUAUAAAAAAAUAUUUUAAUUGAAAAACAUAAUAUUUUAUAAUUUAAGCUCACCAUUCAAUAAAAACAUCAAAUAAGUAUAAUUACUCUAGAUAUUUAAGACGAUAAAUUGUUCACUCACAGUUCUAGGAGUCGAUGUACUCUUAAUCCCAAUCUUCAAGACAAUUUCUGUACUUUUAUCAGUGUAAUUUGCUCACCACCUAUUCACAGUGUACAAUACAUAAUUCACCACAUCAAUGCUUGAUCAUUAUAAAAUCAAUUCAGGCUCGGUAUAUAUGCAUGAUAUGACAUGCAACUUAUCCGACUACCGCUUAAAUGCGGUGUUGACCUAAUUCGGCCUAUUACAUGAUUAAAUUACUAACGCGUCCAAUUUAAUCUUAAAUUAAUUUUUUUCAGUUUUUAUACCUCAAUUGCACCCAAAUUGACUUAAUGUUCCUUAGUGUGGUGCAAAUUAUCAGUCUCGAUAGUAAAUUACGAAAAUACCCCUAGUGGGUAAAAAUUCGUAUUUUUGCUCCGAAAAUUCUCAUUAUUUUUCUAGGCUCAUAAUUUAUCAUUAUUCAUCAUAAUUUCUCAAAUAAACAUCAAGAUCAGCAGUCAAUAUUUCCCUAGAAAAUUCAGUCAAUAAUGGUAAUGGAGGAAAAUAAAUUCUUUUCUUAUUGUUUUGUUCUUAAAUAUGCUAAACUAACUUAAAACACUAACAUAACUUAGAAUCAAAUUAAUCUAACAAGUUUCUCUCUCCUAACCCAUUUUUUCAGUAUUGAAUUCAUCCUCAAAUCACAUGAUUCAACCAUGAAAAAUGAUGAAAAAUGUAUGGAAAUGAUAAAUCUUAAGCUAAGCUUGAAAAAUCAUACCUUUAAACACUUGAUUCCUUGAAAAAUCACACUUUUUCUUUGAAUUUUCUCACUCUAGGGUUUGUUCUUAUUUUUCUCUCUCUCCUGCUGGUUUUGGCUGACCAUCCCAAUGAAGAAUUCUGGAAUUUUCAAACCUUUUAAUAGGCUUAAUAAAAUAUUAUUAUUUUAUUUAUCUUUUGAAUAUUUUAUUAUUUUAUUUUUUUCUAGCCAUCUUUUUGACUUUCUUUUUCUACCACUCAAUCCUCUUCACUUAUCCAUGUCUUCCAUGAAAUUUNNNNNNNNNNNNNNNNNNNNNNNNNNNNNNNNNNNNNNNNNNNNNNNNNNNNNNNNNNNNNNNNNNNNNNNNNNNNNNNNNNNNNNNNNNNNNNNNNNNNNNNNNNNNNNNNNNNNNNNNNNNNNNNNNNNNNNNNNNNNNNNNNNNNNNNNNNNNNNNNNNNNNNNNNNNNNNNNNNNNNNNNNNNNNNNNNNNNNNNNNNNNNNNNNNNNNNNNNNNNNNNNNNNNNNNNNNNNNNNNNNNNNNNNNNNNNNNNNNNNNNNNNNNNNNNNNNNNNNNNNNNNNNNNNNNNNNNNNNNNNNNNNNNNNNNNNNNNNNNNNNNNNNNNNNNNNNNNNNNNNNNNNNNNNNNNNNNNNNNNNNNNNNNNNNNNNNNNNNNNNNNNNNNNNNNNNNNNNNNNNNNNNNNNNNNNNNNNNNNNNNNNNNNNNNNNNNNNNNNNNNNNNNNNNNNNNNNNNNNNNNNNNNNNNNNNNNNNNNNNNNNNNNNNNNNNNNNNNNNNNNNNNNNNNNNNNNNNNNNNNNNNNNNNNNNNNNNNNNNNNNNNNNNNNNNNNNNNNNNNNNNNNNNNNNNNNNNNNNNNNNNNNNNNNNNNNNNNNNNNNNNNNNNNNNNNNNNNNNNNNNNNNNNNNNNNNNNNNNNNNNNNNNNNNNNNNNNNNNNNNNNNNNNNNNNGGGUAUUAUCUUUUAUUCGAUGCUCAACUUCUCCUGUUAUCUCCUUUAUAGGGAAUCUUGAGUUUCUCCUCGUAUUUAUUUCCAACUCAACUUGAAUACUUCACUUAUAUCUAUUGUUACCCUUUAGAAGUUUGAUCAGCAAUAAUCCUCUCGAUCAUAAGUCUUUAUGUCAUUUAGGAUUAUACUAAGUGGUUUCCCAAGAUAAAGAGUUUACGUAGCCUCCUGUCUAUAAUUAGUGCUGCAGUCACUGACUAUCAACAAGACUCUACAUCAACUCCACUAUUUCGUUGUUUACCAUAAGAGUUACUUCAUUUAAUCACUUUUCAUUUAACUGAGUUAAUACAAGAAUUAUAAAUCUUCUUAGUAAUCCUUUAUAAUACUCAUUUUCUAUGCCACCGUCGUAAUCCUUUAUUCACAAAUUCGUUACUUAACAUUGAUGUCCCUUCUCAUUAAUCUCUCAUCCUCUUUAUUUCUUAAGAUUUGACUUUGAUCAAUACAUUAUUGAUCUUAAUACCCCACAAGGUAAUUUAUUUCAAUGUAGCCGUUGGAAUCUACUUAAUUAAAACAAAUCUUUCACUUUUGGAGUUACUACCUUAGUCAUUCUCAACGGCUUGGCUCCUUUUUGAGUCUAUACCACAAUUAGCAAAGUAAAUUUUCUAUCACAAAUGCAUGAUCGGGAUACUGACCCCAACAUAUUCAUAUUAUCUAUGUGAUAUGCUACCGUCAUCCCUUAUGGCAUAUUUCAUUACCUUUAUUCACAUAUCUUUACCAUGAUAAUUUCUCAAAUAAAUUAAAACUUGAGAAAACCAUACUUUACAAUUUAUAUCUCCCUCUAUAAGCAUCUUCAAAAAUCCUCAUGUCCUAUGUCCCACCUUAGGACAGUCUUCCCAUAUGGUUCAAUAGAUCACAACUUCAUCACACGCCUAAGGAUUCAUUAUUGAUAGUAUCCCACUAUUCUCAUAGUCGAAACCGAUUAUAUUCCUCAUCUUAAAAUUUUACGGUAUCACUUUCUAAUUUCCUCCAUACUCAAAUUUAUAAUCCUUAACUUAACCCCGUUAACUGGUGAUCAAUUCAUAGUACUGCAAGGUUUAAUCGUUAUUAAAUCUAAUAAUUGCUGGAACCAUUAAUGGCUUUCUAUUCCAACCUUCAGUACUUAUUUAAAAUAAUCAAUCUUGUCACUAAGAUAAUUAUUCAUCCUCAAUACUUAUAUUACUAAUCUACCUUUGUCAUACUAAAAGAUUUUUAUACUCCUUCUGUCCUUUAAAUAACUAUUCCAUCAUCCAUUUAUAUUAUACAAGACAAAAGUCAACUCUUAAGACUUUCAUACAAAGGAUUAUUAUCCUUCUUAUACUGCAUCUGCCUAGGAUUACAUUAUUACAAGCUUCAACAAGGCACUAAACAUCUUUAGGAUCAUUAUCAUCUUGAUCCUUUUUCGAGUCUAUUUUAACUUUUCUCUUUUUCUUCUCUUGCCAUUUACUUACAUCGCUCCCACAGCCUGGGGGAGAAUGUCUAACGAACGAUGCCGAUGUUUUCCCACUAUAAUAUUCUUCUUCUGCUAUCCUCAUUUUCUUCCUCCCUUUGGCAUAUUCCUCAAUUCCUUUUAAGAGAAAGUUUCUCAUGCCUUCAUUUACGUCAUUACUAUCAACGCUCUCAUCAGUCUCACUAUCACUAGGACUUUCCCUUAUUUUAACUUUCGUUUCCAAAUCUGAUGGAGCUCAAUUAGUAGAUACUCUAAAUGGAUCUCCUUCUAGAUUAUUAAGUUCAAGACACCAUCGACUUUCAGCAGUAAAAUCUAUUAGUCCUUCACUAACACUCUGUGAAAUAUCAGAAUCACUGUCCCCCUUAGACAUGUUAAGUGUAAUCCAACACACUUCAAAACCUAUAUGAAAUCAAACGAAAAUCACUUAAUCUCUUAUACACCCUGCAAACAAACAGGUCUCUAUAUGUAGACUCAUGCAUUCUAUUUGACUUAACUUAACUCGGGGAGACGCAGUGUUAGUGUGGAUUUCUUAAAACAAUUUUAAAACUAAAAAAUUUAAAAUCCAAAGCUUUAAAAUCAAAAUCUUUGAUCUUUAAAUCAUGCUCUGAUACCACACAAAUUGUCACGACCCGGAACUCCCAUCGAGCCCGUGACAACCACCGCAACGUCCCGAUAAGCACUCAUUACCCCGAAUGCCGAUCGAAACCCCACAAGACUUAGCAUCAACUUUCGCAUCUCCCCGGUGAGCGACAGUUAUUAAAUCUCGCAUUUCAAGAAAACAUAAGUUGUUUCCAACUCAAAACAAUAAAAUAUUAUUUUCUAGCUCACAGGGGCAUUUUCGUNNNNNNNNNNNNNNNNNNNNNNNNNNNNNNNNNNNNNNNNNNNNNNNNNNNNNNNNNNNNNNNNNNNNNNNNNNNNNNNNNNNNNNNNNNNNNNNNNNNNNNNNNNNNNNNNNNNNNNNNNNNNNNNNNNNNNNNNNNNNNNNNNNNNNNNNNNNNNNNNNNNNNNNNNNNNNNNNNNNNNNNNNNNNNNNNNNNNNNNNNNNNNNNNNNNNNNNNNNNNNNNNNNNNNNNNNNNNNNNNNNNNNNNNNNNNNNNNNNNNNNNNNNNNNNNNNNNNNNNNGUAAAGUGAAAAAUUACAUUUUUACCCCAAAAACUGAAAAAUUGCCCAUAGACAUAUUUUUCAUCCCUUAUACUCAUACUAUUCUCCAAUUUGUCAAAUGUGAUCUAAAUUCUCUCAAAAUCUCAAAUUUUGUCCGCGGGUGGAAAAAUUACAAUUUUACCCCUAGAUAGUGAAAAUUUCGGUUUGACUUCGAAUUGAUCCUCAAACUCCUAAUUACCAUUUUGAGUCAUCCCUGAACUGUGAAACUCUUAAUUUCACCUUAAAAUUUCUAUUUGAACUAGUUCGAGGCUUAAUCGACUUAAUGAUACCAUUAGGGGCAAUAUCGUCUUUUAACGAUUUCUCGAACUUCCUAAAUAUACAAACAUUCUAUCGAGUAUGUGAAUGACAUUAUAAUUAUUUUACAAAGCAGGGUUUGACAUGGUGAGUGAAUACUAAUCACCUUUCAUCACUUAAUUUUCAAAACUUUUUUGACAUUUAUUAAUUAAAUUAAACUUUUACCAUACAGCCACUUAUACAAUUGAUUCCACAAACGAGAGUUUUCGCAUAUGCAUAUCCUCCUUUGGCUCCUCCAUGAUUAUAAGUGCUCAUCACUUAAAAACAUAGAUAAGAUAAUAUCAACAAAAUUACUAGACAAACAUGCACAUCCCUUCGCCUACCAAGUUGUGGCAAUAUUCAUGGUACAUGGACCAUGUGACCAUGCACGAUCGAAUUCUCCCAGCGCGGUCAAAGGUUAUUGAUCAAAAUAUUUUUCAAAAGACUUCCAAACAAGAGUUAUAAUUAAUGAAGACAAAUUCACAACAUAUCAAAGGAGAAAUAUUCCUAAUUGUAUAACAAUUAAAAACAAUAUUGAAUAAGACAAUAGAUAUGUGAUACCUCAUAAUAUUGAUUUAAUGGUAAAAUAUCAAAUACACAUCAAUGUAGAGAUUUGUAGUCAAAUUAGAGUUAUAAAAUACCUAUUCAAGUAUAUAACUAAAAAACAUGAUAGAGCACGAGUCAUUCUUGAAAACAGUAACUCCACCGCCCAACAAAGCCUAAAUACUACACAUACAUCUACCCUUAAUAAUACAAAACAAAGAUUUGUUGAGAUUGAUGAAAUAAAAACUUAUUUGGAUUACCAAUAUUUAUUAGCAUAUAAAGUAUGUUGAAGGCAUUUUGCUUUCUCGAUACACUAUAGAGAACCAACUAUUCAGAGGUUAUUCAUUCAUUUACCUGAGCAACAUAAUAUUUAUUUCAUGAUAGUGAGAGCAUAUCAAGUGUUAUACAUAGGCUAGAUAUUAAUGAAACUACUUUCAUUGAAUGGAUGGUUUGCGACCAAAUUGAUGACAAUGGUAGGCAUUUUUUGUAUGUUGAUUUUCUUGCUGAAUACGUUUGGCACCAACAAGAGUCUAAAUGGAAAAAAAAAAAAAUAUAAGGUAAAUGUAUAAGGAGAAUAAAUUAUGUCCACCCAACAGGAAGAGAACUAUAUUAUUUGCGUAUGUUGUUAAAUGUUGUUAAAGGAGCUACUAGCUUUGAACAUAUUAGAACAAUAGAUGGAAUCACUUACAAAACUUAUCAAGAAACCUAUCAAGUAUUAGGAUUGUUAGAAAAUGACCAAGAAUGGAAUGAUGCUUUAGUUUAAGCUUCUUAACAGGCUUAUAGCGAAUAAUUAAAAUAAUUAUUCAUGAUUAUUAUUAUGUUUUAAGAAGUAGCAAAUCUUGUUAACCUUUGGCAUGCUAAUUGGAAACUUUUUUAUGAUGAUAUUCAAUAUAAAAUAAAAUAUACUUUUGGAAAUUUACAUUAUACAAUUCUUGAAAAUGAUCUGAAAAAUUAUGUAUUAAUUGUUUUAGAAGAUCUUUUCAACAAAAAUUGUACUUCGUUGUUUGAAUUUGGGUUACCUAUGCCAAACCAACGAGAUGUCAUUCAUGAUUAAGAUAGAUUAAUACAUGAAGAAAUGAAUUAUGACUUACUUGAACUCCAACAAUUACAUUUACAAUUAAUUGCUAACUUAAAUCCUGAACAAAAACAAAUCUAUCAAUGUGCAAAACAAUCAAUUGACAAUAAUGAGCCCCAAAUGAUAUUCUUGUAUGAUUGUGGUGGUAUAGGGAAAACCUACCUAUGAAACGCAAUCAUAUCAGGCAUAAGAUUAGUAGAAAAAAUAAUUUUAACUAUUGCAUCUUUUGGUAUUAUAUCUUUAUUAUUACUUGUAGGCAAGAUUGCUCACUCUAGAUUCAAAAUACCUCUUGACAUAAAUGAAUGUUCUACAUGUCAAAUAAAAAAGGAACAUAACUAGCAAGAUUAGUUGAAGCCUGUAGUUUAAUAGUUUGGGAUGAAACACCUAUGGUGAAUAGAUUUUGUUUUAGUUUUAAAUAAAACUUUAAGAGAUGUGCUGAACAAUAAUAGUAAUGACAGUAUUGACAAACCUUUUAGGGGAAAAAUCAUUUUAUUAAGAGGACACUUUAGGCAGAUACUUCCUGUUGUUCAAUUUGGUCACAGAACAAACAUUAUCAACGUUGCAAUCAACCAAUCAACAAAAUGUUCUACAUGUAAGGUGUUUAGGUUGAAAACUAACAUAAGGUUAUUAAGGCUUGACAUAACAAAAUAAUCAAGAAAAGAAAUUGAAAGCUUUGCCCAAUGGUUAUUAGAUGUUGGUGAUAGAAAGAUACGAUCAUCAACAAUACAGCAAAAUUGAUGAUGACUUUGAUUGUUUGCCAUUACCAACUGAUUUGUUAGUCCUAAUAAUAGAUGAUCCAAUAAAAGAUAUCCUUAGUUUUGUUUAUGAUAGAUUUAAAAAUUUCUAUGCAGAUCUAGAAUAUCUUAAGCCGAGAACCAUAGUGACAUCCUAUAAUGAAACAAUUGACUUAGUUAACACACACGCUUGUAGUUUAAUACUAGCUGAUACAAAAAGCUAUUUUAGCCAUGACUAUAUAUCUCAAGCAAUUGAUCAGGUUUCAAACCAUCAAUUACUAUACCCGAUAAAACUUCUCAACUCAUUAAAAUUUCGUGGUUUACCUGAUCAUGCCUUUCAUUUGAAAGUUGGUGUUGUAGUCAUGUUACUUAAAAAUAUUAACCAAUAUUCUGGUAUGUGUAAUGGAACAAGAUUAAUUAUUACACAAUUAGCUCCUAAUAUUAUUGCAGGCAAAAUUAUCUUCGCAGGAAAAACAAAUAACAAAUACUUUAUUCCACGAAUCUUUUUUACAGCGAAACAUCAUAAAUAGCCAUUUGUUUUCAUAAGAAAACAAUUUCUUAUUAAACUAUCUUAUGCUAUUACAAUUAACAAAAGUCAAGGACAAACCCUAUAGAAAAUUCGCAUAUACUUACCGAAACUUGUUUUUACACAUGGUCAAUUAUAUGAUGUCCUUUCCAGAGUAACAUUUAGAAAUGGGUUACAUAUCUUAGCGACGGAUGAAAAAGGCUUGGUUGUUUGCAAAAAAACGUUGUAUUUGUAGAAAUUUUUGAUAAUUUAGUUUCACAUUUGUUUCAUUAUUUUAUUACAAAAAAUUGCUUAUUUAUGUUUUGCAGUGAUUCCUCUUUUUCCUAGCUAAACUUAUGAAUUGUCAAACAGUUUUCUUUUUUUUUUUUGGCAUCUAAUCUUAUUCUUAUCAAAUAUUAUUCUUAUCAAUGAGGUACUACUCAAACUUUUUCAAUUGAUUGCAACGUUUGAAUACAUCACUCAUUAAUUAUUUUUUCAAGUUAAAGAUGUCAUACCAACAUCUACACAAUUUACGUCCAUUCCAGCAAAGAAUAUCUGUAAAGCUGAGGAUCAUUCAUAUUUGGUAAUCAAUUGAUCCCUCUCGACUUGACAGAUUACUUAACAUUGAUUUCUUGGCUACUAAUGCUUAGGUAUAGAAAUUUAUGUCAUACUUUUACCAUUAACCACUAUAUUUGAAAUAAGUUAAUGUUAAACUCAUUUUCUAACAUUGGCUAAUCACUAACUUCCUUAGAAAUUUGUAAACACAGAGAUGCAAUGCAUUUCAUGAUCAAGACUUCCAAUGCACCACAGUUUCAGUCUCAAUUGAAGGAAGGAUGUCUCCGUUGAAUCAAAAAUUUUCAAAUUAAUGACCAAAAAACUUCUUUCAAUUUUAUUCCUUCAAAUAUAACGUGCAUCUUUACAAAAGAAAAAAACACUAUCAUCCAACCAAAUUAUUGUUAAUUUUACACACACAAUAAUACAUAUUGAACAAGUAAUAUAAUGAUGAAGUAAAGUAUCGUUCUCACGGAGAUUUAUUCUUAAAUUUUUACUAAGUACUAAAAUCUUAUAACAAAUCAAUCUUAUUUAAGUAAUCAAAAUUUACAGAAAAUUAAUUAAAAUAAACACUAAAUUAAGUAACAAACUAAAUAGGUUGAGAAAAGUAGUAUAUUAAAGACCUAGGAUUAUGAGUUCAUUUAACAUUUCAUCUAAUACAAACUUUUCUUGUUAUUUAUCUUUCUUGAGUGGUUUUACUAACCUAGAAUUUAAAGCUAUGGACAAGUCUCCGUUGAGUUGCUUGUACAAAUACCUAACUUAAUUAGUUCAAUAUAUGGCUAUAGGAAUCAAUUAAAUUAAGUUCAUUAAGCAAAUGUCUUAAUGUGGCUAUGAAUGGCAAUUGGCGUAUGUCUACUCAAAUCGUGAAUCAGAUCACCUAAGUGACGUGAACAUACACUAUUCAAAAUUUAGUCUAAUCCAAAAUCUCUCUGUUGAGUCUCAAUUAGAUUCAUAAAUCAGUUAAUUAUUGGUCAAGCAAUCAAAAGCAUUAAGAACAGAUUUGAAUAAGCAAAACUACACUCAUUCAUGAUAAAUAAAAAAGAAACUAAUAUUCAAACUACAUUUUGAAAUUCACCACAAUCUUAGAAAGAUAAUUUAGCUCAUAAUAACUAAUAGAAACAACAUCUAAAGAAAUUUAGUCAUGAAUCUAAGUCAAAGAAAAUAAAAAAAACACACAAGUAGAGAAAGAAACUAAGUGUUGAAGCUUUGCAAUCUCAAUUCUCUUUCAAAUUCUCUUGUUUUCUUGCUUUGUUCUUGACUUCAAAUCUCCAAAAUAGUUGGUUGCUACCUCCUACUUAAAAUCUUUGAAAAAGGUCCCUUAAAUAGGCUCAAAGUAACCUAAUUUCUAAAAUCUUAUCAACUUUUUAUUUUUUAAAAAUCACACAGCGUUGCGGCGCUACUUCUUUAGCGCUGCAAUGCUAAACUCUUGGGGAAAUGUGGUGUGCUUCCUUUCACCAGCGCUGCAGCCUUGUUCUCUUGGUGUUGCGACGGCCUAUCAAUUUGAACAUGUUUUCACCUUGAUCUGAUCAGAAAUGGGUAAAGUUAUAGCCAUGCAAGUUUUAGUCCUGUCUCUUAGAUUUUCAAUGGCUCAAGAAUCAUGUCAAUUGGACAUCGGGAUUGAAAGAUAAGCUCCAAAUACCGCAUCAUGUUCAGUCCAUGUAUGCUGCUGCAAUGCUCUAACUUAGACAAAUAUUUUGACCAUGAUCCAAUUUGAACUAGAAAAGUAGUCAACAUAAAAGUUGUAGCACUUCCUUUUAGCAUUCUAGUGGUUUAAGAAGCACUUCAUUUGGAGUUCUUUAGAGUUUAUUUGGAGUUCUUUAUAGAGAGAUAUGGUCAAAACACCGCAAUAUAUAUGAAUAAAAUCAUCACCAUACUUGCACGGAUUUUUAUCAAAUAAGCCUUUUUCAUCUAAUUUCUUACAAAAGCAAUAAAAGAAACCAGCAAUAACUACUCUUAAAGUAAUUUAAAACAAAAUAACAUAAAAUUUAACUAAAGUGACUCAAAUUAAUUAUUCAACAAGUAAUCAAACUUAAACUAGAAAAACACCUAAAAUGCUAAAAUUCGAAUAUAAAAUCUCAAAGAUAUAGCUACUUAAGCCUCUAAAACGUAUCAAAAAAACUCUAUAUAAUAGAGUUAUCACACCCCCAAGCUUAAGAUUUUGCUAGUCCUCGAGCAAAACAUAAAAUAAAUGCAGUAACAUAAAUAAAGAAAAUAACUUAACUAGAAAUCAAUUGCACCACUUCAACAAUCAUCUUUAAUAUCCUCAAAAGUUAAUCUAAAUUCUCAACUCCAAACAACACAUAAAUAUCAUUCAAGUUCAUGUUUUAAUUCAAAUGCAAGUUUAUCGUUAAGUGGAUUUCCAUGUGUGUGUCUACAAUCUUUUCACCUAGAACAUUAUACAAUAUGGAUAAGUUUAUAUUCAUGUAAAAUUCAAAUUAGUAACUAACUCCAUAAAUUUGCUUUUCAUCUCUCUCCACUAAUGUAGGCUAAUACUAUGUUAAAAAUCAAUAGGACUUUAAUUAGUUUGUAAUGUAUGGCUAGGGUUAAGGUUGGAUAUGUGAUAAUGUAUAGUUUAAAUCACCCUAAGCACACAGUCAAUCUAGAACCUAUUCAGAGCUUUAUUUUCCUUUACCUAGUAUACCCUUUUUCCAACAACCUUUUUCUUUUAUUCAACACUUCAUUCUUUCUUUCCCUUUUUCUUUUUCUCAAUUUCACACCCACAAACUUAUUUCUUUUAUUGGGUAGUGAGAUGAAUACAAUCAUAUUUUUGAACUUUUUAUCAUUUUUAUUCUUCUUAACUACCUCUUUCACUAUAUAGCUCAUAACACAUCCUAAAUUGACUUGUUCACUUAGGAAUGAAGGAUGCAAGAAUUGUUGAAAAUAUUAAUAUAAGGGUUUAGGCUAAAAAUUAAGUGUUCAAACAAAGAAAAGAUGUUAUUAGGCUCAAAGAGCGAAACUAAAGAUAAUUUAUGUAAAGGAAGGCUACAAAAGGCUCAAUCGAUUCAAAAAUGGUAUAAAUCAUCUCCUUAACUAAGUAUAGCCUAGAAUUUCACCUCGAGAGAGAAUCAAACAAAUUCUAAAACUUAAUACAUAAUUCAAAAUUUUCACAUUCACAUAAACCUUCUCUAAAUAUACACAAUAAAUCUGAACAAAAGACAUAGUGCUCAAAAUGUAGAAAUUUCAACCUAACAGUAAAGCUUAGCAUGAAAUUUACAUAGCACUUAAAACAUAUUCACAUGUUUCGAAAUCAAGAUAGGAAUAUAACUGAAUUCUCAUCAUUGGAUGAGUAAAUUAAACAAAACUAGCACAAUUGAAGCUAGUUCAAAUGCAAAUGCACAUGCAUAAAAAAAAAUUUAACAAAAAUAAACUAACAUAAACUAUCACAAAAACUAAUAACAAUAAAACCCUUCCCCAAACUUAAAUUGCACAUUGUCCCUAAUGUGAAAAGCUAAAAAGAAUGAGAAAAAGAAACUCCCCUAUUAAUGGUGACAGUGCAUUAAAAACUCUAAUUUUCUUUCACCUUAUCUUCAUGCUUUCCAAACCUAUGGACUUAACAAACAAGGUAAGGAGAGGUUAUUACUACAUAUUUAAAUAGAAAACAAAAGCUAACUAACAUAACAACUAAAACUAAAAAGAUAGAGCCUUGGAUUGCUUCCUAAGAAACGCUUCUUUAUAGUCACUAGCUUAACUAUGAUACCUCCUUUUUGUUAUCUACGAAAGUACCUAAGGAUAUUUGACAAUCCAAUUCACCUCCCAAGUAAUGCUGGAGACAUUACCCAUUCACUCCAAAUGUUCUAGUAGCAUCACUAAAAAUAUCUAUUACACUACAUGAAUAUACCUUAACCACCUUAUAAGGACGUGACCACUUUGAUUUUUGUUUCCAUGGAAGGAGCUUGACUGAUUUGGUCAGUAGCACUUGUUGUCCCACCUUAAAAUCAAGAUUAAUUGAAGGUAAUGGAUCAUGCUCAUUAUAACACUAUUUAGUUUUGAGCUGUGGUGGUGGUGAAUUUAAUUCAAGAAUUGAUGCUUGUUUACUUGUAGGUGGUGGAGUAGGAUUCCUUGAUCUUUAUCAGUUAAAUCCACUUUAUAGUAAUGAGCUGUGGUUGAAGUACUCUUAGUUGCAUUGUAAAUAGUAAAUUCAGCUACAUUCUCUCCAACUUUGAAAUUUAUUUUGCCUUCCUUUACAUCUAUUAGUGCGCCUGCAGUGGCUAAGAAUGAACGUCUUAUUAUGAUCGAAACUUUUUGAUCCUCCUCUAUCUCAAGUACUAUGAAGUUUACUGGAAUGAACAAUUUCCCAACUUUAAGUAAGACAUCUUUUAUCACCCCACAGAGGUGCCUUAUCGUUUUGUCAGCUAGUUGUAAGGUGAUUGUAGUGGGUUGAAUCUCCUUCAGUCCAAUUCUCUUAGCAACAAACAAAGGCAUAAUUGAGACACCAUCACCUAAAUCACACAAAGCUUUUGAAAAAUUAAAAUUACCAACUGAGCAAGGGAUAGAAAAACUCCCUAGGUCCUUAAGCUUUAGUGGAAGCUUGUUCUGGAUUAUUGCAUUACACUCCUCAGUGAGUAUAAUUGUCUCAAAGUCCUCCAAUUUCCUCUUAUUUGUCAAUAUAUCCUUCAGAAACUUCACAUAUGAUGGCAUUUGCUUUAAAGGUAUUGCAAAAGGAAUGUUAAUGUGAAGCUUUUUAAAUACCUCAAGAAAUAUUUGGAUGUGCUUAUCAAGCUUUUGUUUCUGAAGGCGAUGAGGGAAGGUGGUGGUGGUAAAGUUGUCUUUGCUUCCUUCUCUUGACUUUGGUUGUCACUUGUCUCAAUCACCGUUUUAUUCUCAACAGGCUCAUCUUGAUAAUUAGCUUGCCUAACACUAUGUUUAACCUUUUUUUCGCUCAUUAGGGUGAUUGCCAUAACUUGUUCCUUACCUUCUCUCCUUGAAUUCACCUCUGUAUCACUAGGCAAUGUUCCUUAAUGUCGAUUGUUUAAUAAAUUAGCAAGUUGACCAACUUGAGUCUCAAGGUUUCAAAUUGAUGCUACUUGCCUUUGAAUGAGAACUGUUUGACUUUGUAUAAUGUUAUCAUUCUAGGUCAUGUACCGCCUUAGCAAAUCUUCCACAGUUGGCUUCUUUUUCGAAUAGAAGCACUGACUUGCUAGUGAAAUGCUAGAUGUGCAUUUGGCCUUGGAGUUGAGGACAAACCUUGAUUAUUAGCCUAAGAGAAAUUGGGAUGAUUCCUCCAUCCUGGGUUGUAAGUGUUGGAAUAGGGCUUAUUCUGCUGUCUAUUACCCAUAAAUUGCACUGCCUCUAUUGAGCUUGGACACUAAUGACUUGCAUGAUUAUCUUUACAUAACUCACAAGCUAUAAAAGGACUUUGCAAACUAUUAAUACCAAAAGAUUCAAGAGUUUUAGUUAAAGUUGUUCUUUGAGCGGAUAACACUGAAAAUGCAUCUACAUCAUGAAUUCUAACUACUCUCUUAUGCAUUAAUCGCUCCACUAGCCACUGGUAGUUGUUUGUAACAAUCUCUUCCAACAAAUUGUAUGCUUCAUGAAUCGAUUUAGCCAUCAAAGCUCCUUCUACUGCAACAUCAAUGGUAGUUCGAACAUGCCCAUUCAAACCAUUGUAGAAAGUUUGCAUCUAAAGCCACUUUGGAAGCCCAUGAUGAGGACACCAUUGAGGUAAUCCUUUAUAUCUUUCCCAAGCCUCGUACAAUGAUUCAAAAUCUUACUGUAUGAAUGAUGUGAUAUCAUUCCUCAUUUUUGCUGUCUUAGCUAAAGGAAAAAACUUGGCAAGGAAAUUCUGAGUGAGAUCAUCCCAUGUUGUUAUUGAGCUAGUGGGGAGCGCAUUCAACCAUGCUUUAGCUUUAUCCCUUAAUGAGAAGGGAAAAAAGCCUCAACCAAAUUGCAUCAUCUGUGACACCAUUGUGCUUGAACGUGUCACAAAUCUCCAAGAGGUUUUAAUAUAUGGCCAUUUGGAUCAUCACUUGGAAGACCCCCAAACUGAACCGAUGUUUAAAUCAUGGUGAUGAUAACUGGCUUGAUUUCAAAUUGUUUGCUUGAAUAGCUAGCCUUCGAAUGCUCGAUGGAAUUCCUCGUACGAAAGGAACAACAUAAUCCCUUAAGUAACGAUUGUCAACUACUACACGUUCUUAGAUUUACUGUUCACUCUGUUGGUCAGCCAUUGUAUUUACUAGAGCAACACCUUGUUAAUUUUCUCAUCAAACUCUGCGAAAUGUUUGCUCAAUUUCUGGAUCACCCAGGAUAGUCUCCAAGUUGUUUGCUUUUCUCAUACAACAGCUGAACACAACUACAAAACAAAAAUAAACUUAAAUUAAGACUAAUCUGUAAAAUUUUAAUAUUAGCAAAUAAGAAAGAAAACAUAAUCCCAACCAAUAGUGCCAAAACCUUGUUGUCGAUUUUGCAUACGCAAGUGUACGUAUUGAACAAGUAAUAUAGUGAAGAAGUAGAGUAUUGUUUCCAUGAAGAUUUGUUCCUAAAUUUUUAUUAAGUACUAAAAUCUUAUAGCAAAUCAAUCUUAUUUAAGUAAUCAAAAUUUACAAAAAAUUAAUAAAAAUAAAAUUAAAAUAAACACUAAAUUAACUAACAAACUAAAUAGGUUGAGAAAAUUAGUAUAUUAAAGAACUAGGAUUAUGGAUUCAUUCAACAUUUCAUCUGAUACUAGCUUUUCUUGUUAUUUAUCUAUCUUGGGUGGUUUUACUAACCUAGAAUCCAAAGCUAUGAACAAGUCUUCGUCAAGUUACUUGUACUAAUACCUAACUUAAUUAGUUCACUAUAUGUUUAUAGGAAUCAAUUAAAUUAAGUUCAUCAAGUGUCCUAAUGUGGCUAUGUAUGGCAAUUGACGUAUGCCUACCCGAAUUGCGAAUUAGAUCACCUAAGUGAUGUGAACAUAUACUAUUCAAAUCUUAGUCCAAUCUCAAAUCUCUCUAUCGAGUCUCAAUUAGAUUCACAAAUCAAUUAAUUGUUGGACAAGUAAUCAAAAACAUCAAUACAGAUUUGAAUAAGCAAAACUACACCCAUUCAUGAUAAACAAAAAAGAAACUAAUAUUUAAACUAUAUGUUGAAAUCCACCACAAUCCUAGAAAGAUAAUUUAGCUCAUAAUAACUAAUAAAAACAACAUCCAAAGAAAUUUAGCCAUCAAUCCAAAUCAAAGAAAAUAAAAGAAACAUAAAAGUAGAGAAAGAAACUAAGGGUUGAAGCUUUGCAAUCUCAAUUCCUUCUCAAAUUCUCUUGUUUUCUUACUUUGUUCUUGACUCCAAAUCUCAAGAAUAGUUGGUUAUUGCCUCCCUCUUAAAAUCUCUAAAAAAAGUCUUUUAAAUAGGAUCCAAGUAAUCUAAUUUCCAAAAUCUCUUCAACUUUUUAUUUUUGAAAAAUCACCCAAUGUUGCGACACUACUUCUUCAGUGCUGAGGCACUGAGCUUUGGGGAAAAUGUGGUGUGCCUUCUUUCACCAGCGUUGCAGCCUUGUUCUCCCAAUGUUGCGGCAGUUUCUCAACUUUGAUCGUGUUUUCACCUUGAUCUGAUUCAAACUGAGCAAAAUAUGUCAAGCCUGACUCUACAAUAUGUUUAUUAUACCAUUCUUACAUAAGAAUGCAUGUUUGCUUACUUGGGUACCUCGAAAAUCGUUAAAGAACGGCAAUGUACCAAAUGGUACAAUUAAGUUGAAUUAAGUCUCGAACUAGUCCAAAUAAAGAUUUUAAAAUGAAAUUGAGAAUUUUAAAACCCUAGAAUGACUUAAAAUGGUGAUUUAGAGUUCGAAGACCGAUUUGAAGUCAAAUUGAAAUUUUCAUGACCUAGGGGCAAAAUGGUUAUUUUUUCACCCGAGGUUAAGAUGUGAGUGUUGGAUGAAAUUUUUGACUAAGAUUGAUCAUUUGGAGUAUAAUUUGAGUUUCAGAAGUGAAGAAUUUUAAUUUUUACAUUUUUUCGAGGAUAAGGGCAAAAUAGUCAUUUUGCCACCUUAUGGGUAAAAUUGUAAUUUUACACCAACCAACACUUGUCAUGCCCAUGGAUUUCAGCCAUUAGCAUUUUAUAUCAUGGAUAAUUAAAGGAUUUUAUGUGGUGGUGGAAGAAAGCUUAAUUAUUAAGUUUUUAAACAUGGACUAAUAACAUGGUGACAAGUGUCAAGCUUGGAUUAUUUUAUUAUUUGGCUUUAAAAAUCAGCCCAUAACCCUCCCAACUCAUUUAUCUUGGUCGACCAAAGAGAGAAAAGAGAAAAAAGGAAGAACAAAAAUCCUAGAGAGAAAAAUUUAGAGGGAAAUUGUUGAUUUUCAAUGAAUCAAGCCAUUAAAGGUAAAAUUUCUUAAUUCUAGCUUGUGAUCUACCUUUCCUAUGCAUUAUUUUGCAUUUUUCAUGGUUGAAUCACAAGAUAUCAUAAAGGAUAGUGCGCUGAUCAAACCUUAGGAGAGAGAAUUUGAUGAUAAAUUUAGUUAGAAAACAUGUUAUUCUAGUAUUUUUAGUUGUUUGGUGAUGUGUAGUAUGAAAAGCAAGAAAGAAAAAUUCAUGUUCUUACAUCACCUUCAUUGGCCGAAUAUUCCAUGUGGAAUAUUGAUGAUGAAUUUGAUUAAAUUUCAAGUGAUUUGAUUAGGAAUGAAUGAUUUAUGAUGUGAGAAUCAAGCAUGAAAAAUUAUAUUGUUAGUGCACUCACCAUGGUCGAAUUUUUCAAGAGAAAAUGUGAGGAUGAUUUUGCCACAUUUCAAGUUAUUUAAAUUGUGUUUAAUGAUUUGGAGUAUUGGGAGAGAAAUGGAAUUGUUUGGAGUUGAAUUGGACGUAUUGGUCAAUUAAUCGGGUGAUAGAUCGAAUUAGGCCAAUACCAUUUUAUUUAGGUACAUAAUUGAAUUUAUAUUGAACACUGUAUUUAGAUAGUUACCCGAAUAUUUCACAUCCCAUUUCAUGCAUUAGUAUAGAGCCUGAAUUGAUUUUACAACGAUUUAGCACAAAUGUAGCAAAUUGCUUAUUGUGCAUUAUGUCUAGGUGGUGAGUAUUCUGGCAAGAGUAAAAAGGUAGUAUUCGAGGAUCCAGAAUCAAAGUAUCCCGAAUUCGAUUCCCAUUAUAGUUAGUAACCUUAUUAUCGUCUUAAUUAUCUAAAGUAUGUUUUUUUUAUCCAAUUUUGUAAUUUUAUGAAAAAUGUGUUUAAAUGAAAUGAUUUUAUAAAUUGUUUUGAAAUUUAAUGAUGACUUGCAAAUGGAGUAAUUGGAGACUACUUGCUGUUUUGUAAAUUAUGUUUUGAAUUGAAUGGCUUAUGAUAAUGUGGGCAUGAAUGGCUGGAUGAGAAUUUGUGUUGAAAAUGUAUAAACUGUUGUUUGCCUUGAUAGGCUGGAUAAUGAUAAAAUUAUCAUGUCAUGCUGUUGAAUUUUUAUUGAAUUAAUGGGUUAUAGAUUGGUCACUGCAGUGUCGGGUUCUGUGGACCAACCUUUUUGAGGGGUACGAAAUUCGGGUAUAUUCUAUCCUCGGUUGAGGAGGCACGUAGGGUAAUUCCUGAGAUAAAACUUUAGAGUUCACCUCACGCUGAACCACCACGUGAGGGUGAACUCAGCUAACGCCAAGUAACGGCUAUAUUUUCAAAAUAAAAACAUGAUUUAUACGUACAUGACUUUUUAACAACCUUGGCGGACUCCGUUGGGAUAGCCUUAGGCCAAGGUAUCCCUAACAACUGAGUAUGAAAAUGAUUUUGGCACGAGCAAAGCUUUUCAAGAAAUCAUAAGCCUCGUUGUUUAUUUGGGUGAAAUGAAUCUAUUUUAUCUUAUUAAAAUGAGUUCGAAAUGUUGUGAAUCAUUUUUAUACUAAUCUAUUUUAUCUGUCUCCAUUUACUCAGCUUUAGAUAUUUUAGAUGAUAUUUGUUUACUCACUGGGAUUAUAUAAUCUCAUCACCUUUCUUUCCACCUAUUUCAGGUUCAGGAUAGUCGGUAGAUAGCUCAUUUCGUUGAGGGCUACAGUUGGACUUGCAUUCUCAAAAACUGUAGGUUCACAGCCUUCAUUACUUUUAGUCAUUCAAGGGCCCACAUGUC